GUACCAAGGAGAACGGACGCGAACGGUGUUCCCCAGACGAAUCGAAUCAGAGAACAGCAGUGUGUGACUGUGCGCCGUGGCGUGAUUUGGAGGUUGACACAACCAAGGACCGAAGUAAAACAAUAGGCUAAUCGUCGCGAGGCGUGUGACUUAUCCGUUCAAUCAUGAGCAAGGUCGUGGUGCUGGUUCUCACCGUGACGUGCAUUGCGGUGCAGCUAUCGGGGGCAACGAAAGACAAACACAUCAAGUACACCGAGAAAGAUCUGCUCCGGAAGUCGAUCGUGUACGACAAAAACACACCGGAUGUGUUCUACUGCCCAAUCAGUAAACCCACCGGCAUGGAUAAGAUGAUCGUCAAAUCACGGCCACUGCACAAGCUGUGCGAACACGAAGGUAAACCACUGCCAGAGGACUACAAAUCCGACUGCUACAAGGACGUCGACGAGUCGAACUACGCGUGCAAGGAGAAGUACCGGAUCAUGAAACGUUCCGCCAAAGAGAAUAUUGAGAUCUAGAUCCUGCACAGUGACCGUAGCGCGCGGUCGUUAAAUUGCAUUUCUUGUGCAAAUCUACCUUGGUAUUUGUCCUCAAGUUUUCCCAAGACAUGUUGACUCGUUUCACUCAGACUCAGAGCUUACCUGUGCUCGUUGACGCUUGCUAGAACGUAAAGAUGAUACCCCGACUAUUCUGACGAAGUCAACAGACUUGCUCUUAUCUAAUUCGUUUCCUACUUUGCUAAAUCAUAUUUCCUAUACAAAAUCUAGCCUAGCCAUGCCCUCUGUGAUUCCUUUAAUCUGUGUUUCUGUAUAAGCUUGUCUGAUUCUACAAACAUUUCUUUCAUUAAUACCAAAUGGAAUCCCAGGACAUUGCACAAUGCGCACAGUGGAUUGUACGUGUUGGGUCUGUGUUCUUUGCUCCACCUUCAUUAUAUGAUUCGUAUCCACAAUUACUGAUUUCGAAUCGAUGGUUACCAAAUACAACAAAACAAAACAAAACCGAACCAACCCAUCGUAACUCUAAUCGAUAGCUUAAUAUUGUUCAUUGUCUCGCAAAUAAUCGUUCUUUUCGAAUAAGCCUAGAUAACAACGGGAAUCGAAAGCAACUGAAUCGAAUCUCUAUCAGCUAUAUCUAAUCAGCUAAUUAACUCACACAAAUAAUCUUAUCGAAUACCUACAUUAACCCGUGCUGGCAGGCCGCUUCUAUCUGUUGGAGGAAACGUUCCCUGCAAACUGCGACUAACAAACAACUUCACAAACAAAACUGCAACGAAACUAAACCAACUUCACGAUAACGGCAAAUGCCAUUUAAUCACCUAACUAUAUCUCUCGGGACCAACAAAUCCUUGAACGUUACCACACGGACAAGCACAUCACACAAACCGAAUGGUACACGUACACUGCACACAGACUAGACACAGAUACGAGGAAAUCUAGCUCGCUUUGCACAAGAACCUUUACCCGUUGCCAAACCAUAUAUCAGCUACCACACAUCAUGCUACUUAAAUGCCAGCUAAACGCUAUACGUGGGAUCACGGGUGCUGUACAUGAAAGGUGCGUAUCAAAUGGAUGUACUAGAUAUCGGAUAUCGAAAGGAGAAUGUCCUCUAAUGAUGCGCCUGAAUCCUCCCGGAAGUGAUGAACCGUUCAAUGGACAGCGGCUGAGCCGAUUCAUGGCAAUGGAUGACGAUAUGAAGCGGAUCAAAUCCAGGAAACACUAGUUUGCGCUUGAUGGCACAUCCUUCGAUCGGCAGACGACCCAAAGUGCUGUGAUUGGUGCCUGCUUCACUUUGCCAUAUUAAUGCAUCCCAGCGCGGCAGCAGGUGCGACCUAGAAGAAACCAGGAUUCGAUCUAUCUAGGCAGAAGGAAUGAUGCGAGGUCUGCAUAAGCAUGAGAGACCGUUUGUGAAGUAGCGGGUUUUGUUGUUGUGUGUUUAGUAAGUUUACGGGAAACGUUUCUUUCCAAAUCCGAUGUAUAGAAGUGGCUGAACAGCUUGCCGACUCGCAAAUAAUUUAAUGCAGCUUGAUUUCCUACUCGUUUUUAUCUUGUGUUAACAGCAACUGUUGAUUGAGAACAUGAUUUUAUGAAAUAAAACAUUAAACCUCCUA